GUGGAUGGGGGAACAGCUGGGGAGGUGUUUGCAAGAAUCUGGGAGCUUGUGUGCUUUUUUUUUGAAUUUUUAUGAUUUUUUGUGACCAUUGGGCCAUGUUGUUGUUUUUUGAAAAAAGUUUCUGGGUUUUAAAUUUCUGUGUGCUGGGUGGAUGGGGGAACAGCUGGGGAGGUGUUUGCAAGAAUCUGGGAGCUUGUGUGCUUUUUUUUGAAUUUUUAUGAUUUUUUGUGACCAUUGGGCCAUGUUGUUGUUUUUUGAAAAAGGUUAUGGGUUUUAAAUUUCUGUGUGCUGGGUGGAUGGGGGAACAGCUGGGGAGGUGUUUGCAAGAAUCUGGGAGCUUGUGUGCUUUUUUUUGAAUUUUUAUGGUUUUCUGUGACCAUUGGGCCAUGUUGUUGUUUUUUGAAAAAAGUUUCUGGGUUUUAAAUUUCUGUGUGCUGGGUGGAUGGGGGAACAGCUGGGGAGGUGUUUGCAAGAAUCUGGGAGCUUGUGUGCUUUUUUUUGAAUUUUUAUGGUUUUCUGUAACCAUUGGGCCAUGUUGUUGUUUUUUGAAAAAAGUUUCUGGGUUUUGAAUUUCUGUGUGCUGGGUGGAUGGGGGAACAGCUGGGGAGGUGUUUGCAAGAAUCUGGGAGCUUGUGUGCUUUUUUUUGAAUUUUUAUGGUUUUCUGUAACCAUUGGGCCAUGUUGUUGUUUUUUGAAAAAGUUUCUGGGUUUUGAAUUUCUGUGUGCUGGGUGGCUGGGGGAACAGUUGAGGAGGGGUUUGCAGGAAUCUGGGAGCUUGUGUGCUUUUUUUUGAAUUUUUAUGGUUUUCUGUAACCAUUGGGCCAUGUUGUUUUUUUUUGAAAAAGUUUCUGGGUUUUGAAUUUCUGUGUGCUGGGUGGCUGGGGGAACAGUUGAGGAGGGGUUUGCAGGAAUCUGGGAGCUUGUGUGCUUUUUUUUGAAUUUUUAUGGUUUUCUGUAACCAUUGGGCCAUGUUGUUGUUUUUUGAAAAAUUUUCUGGGUUUUGAAUUUCUGUGUGCUGGGUGGCUGGGGGAACAGUUGAGGAGGGGUUUGCAACAGUUGGGGAGGGGUUUGCAACAGUUGGGGAGGGGCUGGGGGAACAGUUGAGGUUUUUGAAGACUUUGGUGAUUUUUAAAGCUUUCCCAAAACUUCUUUUGCAGCCAUUUGAGGAUUUUGAAGACUUUGGUGAUUUGCAGCCAUUUCGUAAGUUAAACUUUUAAAACUUUUUUUGGGGUUUUUGGAUUUUGGGUUGGGUGUUUGGAAUUCAAGGACUUGGUUGUGGGUUUGAAUUGCUGAUUUUUUUU